GACGAACGCUGGCGGCGUGCUUAACACAUGCAAGUCGAACGGUGAAGCGCCUUCCUUUUUGGUGGGUGUGGAUGAGUGGCGAACGGGUGAGUAACACGUGAGUAACCUGCCCCCUUCUUCUGGAUAACCGCAUGAAAGUGUGGCUAAUACGGGAUAUUCUGGGUCUGUCGCAUGAUGGGUCUGGGAAAGAUAUUGUUUCGGUGGGGGAUGGGCUCGCGGCCUAUCAGCUUGUUGGUGGGGUGAUGGCCUACCAAGGCGGUGACGGGUAGCCGGCCUGAGAGGGUGGACGGCCACACUGGGACUGCGACACGGCCCAGACUCCUACAGGAGGCAGCAGUGUGGAAUAGUGCACAAUGGGCGCAAGCCUGAUGCAGCGACGCCGCGUGAGUGAUGGAGGCCUUCGGGUUGUGAACCUCUUUCGCCAGUGAAGCAGGCCUGCCUCGUUUGUGGGUGGGUUGACGGUAGCUGGAUAAGAAGCGCCGGCUAACUACGUG
rnacentral:rRNA from 1 species